GCGAACGCUGGCGGCAGGCUUAACCCCUGCAAGUCGAGCGGGCAUCCUUGUGGUGUCAGCGGCAGACGGGUGAGUAACGCGUGGGAACGUGCCCUUCGGUUCGGAAUAACUCAGGGAAACUUGAGCUAAUACCGGAUACGUUCGAGAGCAGAAAGGUUUAUCUGCCGAAGGAUCGGCCCGCGUCUGAUUAGCUAGUUGGUGAGGUUACGGCUCACCAAGGCGACGAUCAGUAGCUGGUCUGAGAGGAUGAUCAGCCACACUGGGACUGAGACACGGCCCAGACUCCUACGGGAGGCAGCAGUGGGGAAUAUUGGACAAUGGGGGCAACCCUGAUCCAGCCAUGCCGCGUGAGUGAUGACGGCCUUAGGGUUGUAAAGCUCUUUUCUCCGGGACGAUAAUGACGGUACCGGAGGAAUAAGCCCCGGCUAACUUCGUG
rnacentral:rRNA from 1 species